AUAGCAAGUCUCUUAGAAAAGAAGAUUUCAUUCUUCUGCUAAGACAACUUCCAUCGGAACAAUGAAGUCGUGCGCUCUUCUUGUGCUCUUGGUGCUCUUUGCCACUGUUGUCAUAGAAGAUACAUCCGGGCAACCUAACCCUCCAUUUUGCAACUGCUGUGGUCACAGGUGUCCCAUCUUUCAUGGGAGAUGCUUUUGUUCCGGAAGACCUCCAAACUGCCACUGUCCUGCGAAAGAUCUCCCAAAAUAAAAAGAAUAGCCUCCGUUGAGAUGAAGUAUGACCAGUUGAACUAGGGAACAAAACAGAUAACAAGUCACUCAGCUUAAUGUAAAGCUGCUGUAUUUGGACUUUGUUUGUGAAUUUUGAAUUUUAAGUAGUCACAAUAAAGUUUGUAGUAAAUACGCCGUAGUUACUGCAUUGUUAAA